UGGGGAAUCUUGCACAAUGGGGGCAACCCUGAUGCAGCGACGCCGCGUGAGCGAUGAAGCCCUUCGGGGCGUAAAGCUCUUUCGACCGGAACGAUAAUGACGGUACAGGGAGAAGAAGCUGCGGCUAACUACGUGCCGGCAGCCGCGGUAAUACGUAGGCAGCAAGCGUUGUUCGGAGUUACUGGGCGUAAAGAGUGCGUAGGCGGUUUUCUAAGUUCGGUGUGAAAUCUCCCGGCUUAACUGGGAGGGUGCGGCGAAGACUGGGAAGCUGGAGUGUGGGAAAGGCAGGCGGAAUUCCUGGUGUAGCGGUGAAAUGCGUAGAUAUCAGGAGGAACACCGGCGGUGUAGACGGCUUGCUAGACCAUAACUGACGCUGAGGCACGAAAGCGUGGGUAGCAAACA
rnacentral:rRNA from 1 species